rnacentral:rRNA from 1 species
AGCGUCUGGAAAGGCGCGCGAUACAGGGUGACAGCCCCGUACACAAAAGCGCAUGUGCUGUGAGCUCGAUGAGUAGGGCGGGACACGUGGUAUCCUGUCUGAAUAUGGGGGGACCAUCCUCCAAGGCUAAAUACUCCUGACUGACCGAUAGUGAACCAGUACCGUGAGGGAAAGGCGAAAAGAACCCCGGCGAGGGGAGUGAAAAAGAACCUGAAACCGUGUACGUACAAGCAGUGGGAGCCCCACCACUAAGCCAGUGGUGAACUCCACAUACGCAUCCUUUGCUGAGGAUACGGUUAACGGAGCGAAAGCGACGUUCAACCUCAAAAGAAGCAGAGGGGGCUUAGUGGUGGGGUGACUGCGUACCUUUUGUAUAAUGGGUCAGCGACUUAUAUUCUGUAGCAAGGUUAACCGAAUAGGGGAGCCGCAGGGAAACCGAGUCUUAACCGGGCGUUAAGUUGCAGGGUAUAGACCCGAAACCCGGUGAUCUAGCCAUGGGCAGGUUGAAGGUUGGGUAACACUAACUGGAGGACCGAACCGACUAAUGUUGAAAAAUUAGCGGAUGACCUGUGGCUGGGGGUGAAAGGCCAAUCAAACCGGGAGAUAGCUGGUUCUCCCCGAAAGCUAUUUAGGUAGCGCCUCGUGAAUUCAUCUCCGGGGGUAGAGCACUGUUUCGGCUAGGGGGCCAUCCCGGCUU